rnacentral:rRNA from 1 species
GGAUUUGUCAGUUGGUCGGGCCUCACGGUCCGCACUGGCUUGAUGGAUUCCUACCUUCUGAAUAACCAGCAUGCUAUUAAGUUAGUGCGUUGGGGAAGCAGAUCUAUUACCUUGAAAAAAUUAGAGUGCUUAAAGCAGGCUAGUGCUUGAAUAGAUUAGCAUGGAAUAAUAAAAUAGGACGGCUUGGUUCUAUUUUGUUGGUUUCUAGGAUCACCGUAAUGAUUAAUAGGGAUAGUUGGGC